GAUGAACGCUGGCGGCGUGCCUAAUACAUGCAAGUCGAGCGAACAGAUGAGGAGCUUGCUCCUCUGACGUUAGCGGCGGACGGGUGAGUAACACGUGGAUAACCUACCUAUAAGACUGGGAUAACUUCGGGAAACCGGAGCUAAUACCGGAUAAUAUAUUGAACCGCAUGGUUCAAUAGUGAAAGACGGGUUUGCUGUCACUUAUAGAUGGAUCCGCGCCGCAUUAGCUAGUUGGUAAGGUAACGGCUUACCAAGGCAACGAUGCGUAGCCGACCUGAGAGGGUGAUCGGCCACACUGGAACUGAGACACGGUCCAGACUCCUACGGGAGGCAGCAGUAGGGAAUCUUCCGCAAUGGGCGAAAGCUUGACGGAGCAACGCCGCGUGAGUGAUGAAGGUCUUCGGAUCGUAAAACUCUGUUAUUAGGGAAGAACAAAUGUGUAAGUAACUAUGCACGUCUUGACGGUACCUAAUCAGAAAGCCACGGCUAACUACGUG
rnacentral:rRNA from 1 species